GAGAGUCGAAGAAAUCAGACGGUGGUCGAGAUGUUCUCGUCCUUCUACCCGAUGAUACUCGGAAUAAGCUGCUUUUACUCUUUUUUUUUAUUUGAUUUGACUCAUCUUCUGUCUGCAGUUGGUCCACGAUAUGUUUGACCUAGAAGCCGGCUAUGUGAAGUUCGAUGACUUUCAUUGAACAUGGAUGAAUAAAGUGGCGGCCGCUGAUGCUAAGAAGGCAGCUGAGCGGGAGGCCAAGCUUCGGUAGAAAGUCUCUCGAUUGACUAACGAUCUGGA
rnacentral:lncRNA from 1 species